rnacentral:lncRNA from 1 species
AAGGCUGAGGGAGAUCGAGUGAGAGGAAGACCGAGAGCAAAAGAGAGGGGACGGGCUGAGUGAAAAGCGAAGAGGGAGAUAGCUAGAGAAAAGAACGGAAAAGGAAGAGCUUUCUGGGCAAAGAAAUCAAACAGAGAGGAAGACUGUUUUUUUUAAGAGAGAAAGAAACAGAAAGCUGAGGGUUUUGACGGUGGAAAGAGUAAAAGAGAGAGCUUUAAGAGUCUGGGGGAGAGCAGCCGGAAGAGGAAGCCGCAACCAGGAGGGAGACCGAGAGAAACCCAAGCAGCGACUUCAUCAGAAUCUGCAAUCGAUUUCUUCAUCACCC